UUUUAAAUGACGAAAUCACCGCUUUAAUACGGCGAUUCUAUAAGUUCGUUUAUUCCUUUUGCAAUUCCCUUUUGCCCCUUCAACGAAGUGAGACUAUCACUAACCCAUAAAACUUGUGUGUUUCUUUUAUAUGUUCUUUCUCGUUCAAUCUGUAUGUCUUUUUGUGUUUCUCUGCUCAGUGGCUUCUCAUUUACUCCUUUGAUCAGUAAUUUUUUAAAUUCUGCACCGUUGAGUUGUUUACAAUUAUCUAAUAUACAGUAACAAAGUAUGUCUGAUUCUUUUUUUUUUUUUUUUUUUUUUUUUGUGUUCUAGAACUUAGUUUUCUUGGUUCUCACUCUGCUACAUUGUGGUUUUUCUUUUUCUGCCUUUGUUAUUGCUUGUGAUUAGAAACUAAGGCAGCAGCUAUUAUACCUGAAUCUGUGUUAAAGAAAAGAAAGAGAAGUGAGGACUGGGCUUUAUCAAAGAGCAAUGCUGAAAAUAGAAAGAGUUGAGCAAUAUGCUGCUGAAGAAUACAGAGUACGGGUAAAGAACAAAACUCUGUUGCUUGAUUGAAGUGAUUUACUUUGUCUCUGUCUUUUGAUUGAAAACUCAUCCGUCGUCUUAUUAUCUUCAAUUCAUAUAUAAUGUGUUUUGUAAUUGCUUAAUAAUACAAUGGGAAAAUGAGUUGAUAUUAUUGAGAAGGGAGGCCAAACUGAAAGGAGAUUUUUAUGUUGGACCAGAGGCCAAGUUGCUAUUCAUUGUCUGAAUCCGUGGUAUCAAUGCAAUGAACGUGAUGACUAGGAAAGUUUCUGCAACAUUUGCGUUUGAGACAGGUAUUGUUCCCUUCAUUGUGACAUUACUAAAUAAGAAGGUCCUUUACCCUGUCAUUUUCCGAUUGAGGAGUGGGCCUGAUAUUCUAUUAAGUUAAUUAAUUUUUUCUGGCACAUACUCAAUGGUGUAUUUCUCAAAGUGAACAAAGCCACAAUGAACGAUAGGGUUGAGCCAUAUGUGACUUACGGGUAAGGCAACUUGAUCCAUUACAAUUUGUAAUGUUAACUAUCUGCAACAUGAAAGACAAGUUUUGAAUAA